CCUGGGCAACAUAGCGAGACCCCGUCUCUA
rnacentral:piRNA from 4 species